GAUGAACGCUGGCGGCGUGCCUAAUACAUGCAAGUCGAGCGAACAGAUAAGGAGCUUGCUCCUUUGACGUUAGCGGCGGACGGGUGAGUAACACGUGGAUAACCUAUCUAUAAGACUGGGAUAACUUCGGGAAACCGGAGCUAAUACCGGAUAACAUAUUGAACCGCAUGGUUCAAUAGUGAAAGGCGGCUUUGCUGUCACUUAUAGAUGGAUCCGCGCCGUAUUAGCUAGUUGGUAAGGUAACGGCUUACCAAGGCAACGAUACGUAGCCGACCUGAGAGGGUGAUCGGCCACACUGGAACUGAGACACGGUCCAGACUCCUACGGGAGGCAGCAGUAGGGAAUCUUCCGCAAUGGGCGAAAGCCUGACGGAGCAACGCCGCGUGAGUGAUGAAGGUCUUCGGAUCGUAAAACUCUGUUAUCAGGGAAGAACAAAUGUGUAAGUAACUGUGCACAUCUUGACGGUACCUGAUCAGAAAGCCACGGCUAACUACGUG
rnacentral:rRNA from 1 species